CAAUGUCCCUUCUACGAGCUCAUUGUCAGAUGCAUGUUUGAUCUGACUAUGGCAGAUGCGCCCAAUACAAAUUUCAUUGAAGAGAUUGAUUCUCUUUGCAAAUUCUCUAUAGGGAGGAGGCUGGUCAAACGUAUAUACAAUACAUCUCUCCACCAGAUUUCGAAAGUUGCAAGGCUUAUCCGUAUCAAUUUGAGAUCAGUUGUUGAGUGAUAUUGUCACAUUAAGGCGGUGACAAGGGCGAGCAUUUGACACAAUGGAGACACAAUGGAGACGAUCUGACAAACGUGAAUCCAGACACAUCAAUGAAUGGAAAACCUUAGGAAUGAGAUUAAGAACGUUAGACAUAUCUAUCUGUCUCGAAAGAUCCA